AUUUUAAUUAAAUAUAAAAAUAAAUACAACGUAAAAUAAAUUUAGUAAUAAUAGUUUUAUAUUUAAUAAUAAUAGUUUAUAAUUUAUAAUUUAUUUUCAUUUUAUUUUUUAAUUUUAAUAUUAUAAAU
rnacentral:snoRNA from 1 species